GUUCGCACAGGAGCAGCUUUUCGACACAGGGACACACAUUGAUCAGCCAAGGAUAAAAUGAGCCCUGUGGAUGUGUGCAAGGGGUGAAGACAGGAGCACUCUAGUUGAGCUCUGUGGAUAUAAUGGAACAUCCACGUCUGACAAUUAGCCAGUGUUUCUGCAAUUAUUUAUAAAAGUGCAUUAUUUCAAAAAUAAAGUUUAAGUGUUUUAUGUGUGUGGAGUGUUCCUUUAAGAUCCAACAAGCCUGCCCAUGGCAGGACACCAGUCAGGGCACCACCUUCACUAGUCACAAAGGGAUGGUGAAUAUGGCCAAACAAAUUCAUGGUUCCAAGGACCCAGUUUAACCCUUAACCCUUGAGCGGUUGCCUAAAGCUACAUAAUGGUCAAGACUUUAAGUACCAAAACAAAUUUAGUUUUAUGAAGUGGUUUUGGUGUAUAGAUCACACCCCUACAGUCUCACUGGUCAUUCUCUGCCAUUGUUGAGUUAACCAAACCACCCAUGCCUGUGACUUACAGACUUCCCUGCACACUUCUACUAAAAAGAGAUCUAUAUUUUAAACUUCCUUUGCUGCAGUCUGUCGAAUUUAUAUAUAUUUUUUAUUAUUUUCUGCUCUGUUACUAGCCUGCUAACCUGAAGAAGCCCCGUGUGUGAUUAAAGUUCAAUUAAAAGGACUUAUAUAAAGGCUCAGACCACUUCAUCUUAAUGAAGUAGUCCAGGUGCAGUGGCCUUAUAAUUUUAGUCCUGCAAUGUAAACAUGGUCAUUUUGUAGAUAAAGGAAUCUGUUCAUUGUAGUUCUGAACAUGCCUCUGGUGGCUCUGUAAAUGAGUCGCAACGCAUCUAGUGGCUGUCCUUGUGACAACCAGUAAAGGGUGCUUCUGCUUCUAUAACU